AAUGGUGUUCCAACAGAGGAGGCACUUCUAUCCUGAAGAUUAUCAAGAAGUUCAGAAAUUGAAAUAUUUGCUUUCUUGGUUGGACAGGCAAACUCUGAGGGCAAAUCUUCAAUUUCUUCCUUGAUAUUUUCCAUCAGCUCAGCCAUCAUAUUUUCUGGAACUCCAUUUGUUUCCUCUCUGCUAGCACGAUUUCUCACAUAAGCCAAUAUUGAAAUUCUUUCACUCAGUUCGACAGUGUUGACAGUGGCACAACCACAAGAAAGAGACCGUUAUUUUCUUGAGCAUUCUGUAAUGGCCACAUCAGGUGUUAGUAACCAGUAGAGGAUUUAUAUAAUCAGCUGAACACAACUGUGUGGGAGAACAUUACAUGAAAGAAUCCCGGCAUGGAGACAGAUUGAAUAUUUCUUUCCCAGGCCCAUGAUCUCAUCAGCGAGGUGGUGUUGGCGGCGUCGGAGGCGAGCGGUUCAUGCUGGGCACGGUGGUGGCGGGCGUGGCGACGAGGCGGUUCUGCUGCUGGGCGUCGCUUGGUCACGGUGGUGCUGGUGGCGGCCGCAACAACGCAGUGACGAGUGGAGGCGGCGCCGCACUCUACCAGGAAGGCAGGGAAGAGACGAUGCGGCCGUGCAGGGGCAGAUUACGAGCGACACAAUGACGAUUUUCUAUCCCAAUCCUACCCUUUACCAGUGGACGGUUGGAUUUAGUUAAGUACCGUCCGGUAUUUGUACCUCCCGGUACAUAUUGCGGUACCAGAAAGGUAAAAAUGUGCAUCACAGCAUCAAUAAAUAACCCUUAAUAUCGAUCCAUUUGAUAAAUACAUGGUGACACUACAAUGAACUAUUUUUCCAAAAAAAGAGAGCAAGAAGGUGAAACGCAUUUUCAUUUUCUUCCUUCAUGAGCAUCCCAGUAAAGCUUUCUUCCUUUUUCUUGUUGCUGUACGCGUUGAUUCACUCUGUACACGUUGGUUUUCAGGCCUUCAGCUAUGGAGUCAACUAAUUUGAA
rnacentral:lncRNA from 1 species